GAUGAACGCUGGCGGCGUGCCUAAUACAUGCAAGUCGAACGCUGGAGAUCUAGCUUGCUAGAUCGAAGGAGUGGCGAACGGGUGAGUAAUACAUAAGCAACCUACCCACGAAGACUGGGAUAAUCUCUGGAAACGGGGACUAAUACCGGAUAGGUAAUCGGAAGGCAUCUUCUGGUUAUUAAAGGUUAAAAACACUGGUGGAUGGGCUUAUGGCGCAUUAGUUAGUUGGUGAGGUAACGGCCCACCAAGACGAUGAUGCGUAGCCGGCCUGAGAGGGUGAACGGCCACAUUGGGACUGAGACACGGCCCAGACUCCUACGGGAGGCAGCAGUAGGGAAUUUUCGGCAAUGGGGGCAACCCUGACCGAGCAACGCCGCGUGAGUGAAGACGGCCUUCGGGUUGUAAAGCUCUGUCGUAAGGGAAGAACGGUAGAUAGAGAAUAUCUAAGUGACGGUACCUUACCAGAAAGCCACGGCUAACUACGUG
rnacentral:rRNA from 1 species